GACACGGCCCAAACUCCUACGGGAGGCAGCAGUAGGGAAUUUUCGUCAAUGGGGGGAACCCUGAACGAGCAAUGCCGCGUGAGUGAGGAAGGUCUUCGGAUCGUAAAGCUCUGUUGUAAGAGAAAAACGACAUUCAUAGGGAAUGAUGAGUGAGUGAUGGUAUCUUACCAGAAAGUCACGGCUAACUACGUGCCAGCAGCCGCGGUAAUACGUAGGUGGCGAGCGUUAUCCGGAAUGAUUGGGCGUAAAGGGUGCGUAGGUGGCAGAACAAGUCUGGAGUAAAAGGUAUGGGCUCAACCCGUACUGGCUCUGGAAACUGUUCAGCUAGAGAACAGAAGAGGACGGCGGAACUCCAUGUGUAGCGGUAAAAUGCGUAGAUAUAUGGAAGAACACCGGUGGCGAAGGCGGCCGUCUGGUCUGUUGCUGACACUGAAGCACGAAAGCGUGGGGAGCAAAUAGGAUUAGAUACCCUAGUAGUCCACGCCGUAAACGAUGAGAACUAGGUGUUGGGGGAAUAACUCAGUGCCGCAGUUAACGCAAUAAGUUCUCCGCCUGGGGAGUAUGCACGCAAGUGUGAAACUCAAAGGAAUUGACGGGGGCCCGCACAAGCGGUGGAGUAUGUGGUUUAAUUCGAAGCAACGCGAAGAACCUUACCAGGCCUUGACAUGGAGAUAAAGGCCCUGGAGACAGGGAGAUAGAUAUAUCCGAGGUUAUCACACAGGUGGUGCAUGGUUGUCGUCAGCUCGUGUCGUGAGAUGUUGGGUUAAGUCCCGCAACGAGCGCAACCCUUGUGAUAUGUUACUAACAUUGAGUUGAGGACUCAUAUCAGACUGCCGGUGAUAAACCGGAGGAAGGUGGGGAUGACGUCAAAUCAUCAUGCCCCUUAUGGCCUGGGCUACACACGUACUACAAUGGCGUCUACAAAGAGCGGCAAGCCUGUGAAGGCAAGCGAAUCUCAUAAAGGACGUCUCAGUUCGGAUUGAAGUCUGCAACCCGACUUCAUGAAGCUGGAAUCGCUAGUAAUCGCGAAUCAGCAUGUCGCGGUGAAUACGUUCUCGGGCCUUGUACACACCGCCCGUCAAACCAUGGGAGUUGGUAAUGCCCGAAGCCGGUGGCAUAACCUUUCGAGGAGUGAGCCGUCGAAGGCAGGACCGAUGACUGGGGUUAAGUCGUAACAAGGUAUCCCUACGGGAACGUGGGGAUG
rnacentral:rRNA from 1 species